UACAGAGGUCCCAAGCGUUGUUCGGAUUCACUGGGCGUAAAGGGUGCGUAGGUGGCCGGGUAAGUUUGGUGUGAAAGCUCCGAGCUUAACUCGGAAACUGCCAUUGAUACUAUAGGUCUUGAAUUCGGUCGAGGUUGGCGGAAUGUGUCGUGUAGCGGUGAAAUGCUUAGAUAUGACACAGAACACCGAUUGCGAAGGCAGCUAGCUAGACCGACAUUGACGCUGAGGCACGAAAGCGUGGGGAUCAAACAGG
rnacentral:rRNA from 1 species